rnacentral:rRNA from 1 species
GAUGAACGCUGGCGGCGUGCCUAAUACAUGCAAGUCGAACGAAGUUGUUGUAGCAAUACGAUAACUUAGUGGCGAACGGGUGAGUAACGCGUUGGUGACCUGCCCCGAAGAGGGGGAUAACAGUCCGAAAGGAUUGCUAAUACCCCAUAAUGUCACCGGUUUUAGAAUCUGGUAACGAAAGUCGCAAGACACUUUGGGAGGGACCUGCGUCCCAUCAGCUAGUUGGUAAGGUAACGGCCUACCAAGGCGAUGACGGGUAGGGGACCUGAGAGGGUGGACCCCCACAAUGGCACUGAAACACGGGCCAUACACCUACGGGUGGCAGCAGUAGGGAAUAUUGCUUAAUGUGCGAAAGCGCGAAGCAGCAACGCCGCGUGUGUGAUGAAGGCCUUCGGGUCGUAAAACACUUUUUUGAAGGAUGAGGAAGGACAGUACUUCAAGAAUAAGCCUCGGCUAACUACGUGCCAGCAGCCGCGGUAACACGUAGGAGGCGAGCGUUAUCCGGAUUUACUGGGCGUAAAGCGCGUGUAGGCGGUUCGGUAAGUUGGAUGUGAAAGCUCCUGGCUUAACUGGGAGAGGUCGUUCAAUACUACCGGACUUGAGAGUGGUAGAGGAAGGUGGAAUUCCGCGUGUAGUGGUGAAAUGCGUAGAUAUGCGGAGGAACACCAGUGGCGAAAGCGGCCUUCUGGCCCACUUCUGACGCUCAGACGCGAAAGCUAGGGGAGCAAACGGGAUUAGAGACCCCGGUAGUCCUAGCUGUAAACGAUGUGAACUUGGCGUUGGUGGGUUCAAAUCCAUCAGUGCCGUAGCUAACGCGAUAAGUUCACCGCCUGGGGACUACGGCCGCAAGGUUAA